rnacentral:lncRNA from 1 species
GUCUGCCUACAGUGCCAGAGACCCGGGUUCGAUCUCCAGGUUGGGAAGAUCCCCUGGAGAAGGGAAUAGCAACUCACUCCAGUAUUCUUGCCUGGAGAAUCCCAUGGACAGAGAAGCCGGGCGGGCUACAGUUCAUGGGGUUGCAAAGAGUCAGACACGACUGAGUGACUAACACGUGCUUUUCUAGAUGUGGAAAGAUGCCGGAGUCUGGGCUCGUUGAAGUCAUCUCUGAUGCGCACCUUACCUGCCUAGGGCUAUCUCCUGCUUUCUCAUCCUGAAUGCCCCCAGGGCACAGUCUGGGAUGGCUGCAGCGUCCUUUGUUUCCUGAUGUGACAGGUGGCGUUUUUCAUCCACAGCAUCCACGGCCAGAACACUGCCCACGUUUACUGAGUGCUUAGCACGCACGAGCCAGCAUACACACCAUCUAAUCCAACGGUCACAUGAGCACUGCAAGGGAGCUACCACGACCCUGGGCAUUUUACAGACGAGGAAAGUGACGUCCAGAGACGUUAGUGCGUGACUAAGGCCCCACAGCCGGGAAGUGACGGAGUCAGCGCUUGGAACCAGUUUGCUGGGCACCAGGUCCACACUCUGGAUGACUUGCUGUUCACAGGCAUUGAUGCUGAUUCAUUUCCUGCUCUUUUGGUGGGAACCAGCUGGGUCAUCCAGGCAGCCUCCACCCUUGAGAGGAAUGAAUUCCUCUCCAUCCCAGCCAGCAACACAGAAAGCUCUGGAAAGAAGACUGGAGGCAGCAGAGCUGGGCCAGCGGAGGGUCCCCUUCUCUUGGCUGCAGUGUGUGACCCAGAAGAGCCAGUCCGAGCCUUCCUUGGGAGUGAGGUGUGGGCCCUGAGAGACAGAGACCCCGGUCCUCAUGGCAGGAUGCUGUAGCCUGGUGUUGCUGGCGAUCACUGUGCUAAGCAGGGCUGAAUGGCAGAGAGAGACAGACAGACAGAAGAGAGAGAGAUGGGGAGAGCGGCCGACAGAGGAUGAGAUGGUUGGAUGGCAUCACCGACUCAAUGGACAUGAGUUUGAACAAACUCAAAGAGUCGGACACGACUGAGCGACUGAACUGAACUGCACUGAAUCCAUCACCGUAAAAUAACAUUUUCGUUGACUUUAGUCCACACCCCUCCCCUCCCCCAAUUUUGAUCUCCGUGACUCCAGGGCGGUGCUGGAAGGCUGGCCUGUGAUGCCUCACCGCCCCCGUCCUGCUGGGGGAUGAGGGCCCUGGGGCCACAGGCAGGGCCGGUGUUAAAGGGGGUUAAUGUGGUGGAGGCAGGACUUCUCCAAUCCCACAGGUGAGCCUGCCUCCCUGCCUGCUCCACUCGUGGCCCUUGAACCCUUCCCUCCCGCUCCUGAAGUCGGAUGUGUCUUCUUCCUUCUCUCAGAGACCACACUGCCCGGGGCCGCUGUGGG